rnacentral:lncRNA from 1 species
AGAGGGCCUCACGUGCGCUAGGCAAGCACUCUACCAUUAAGCCACAUCCCCAGGCUCCAAAUGAAUUUUAUAGUUGCUGUUUCUAUGAAGAAUGUCAUUAAGAUUUCAAUAGGAAAUUCAUUAACUAUGUUAUAAUGUUUUUAGUAGUAUGGCCAUUUUGACAAUGCCAAUUCUGCCUAUGCAAAAGCAUGGGAAGUCUUCCCAUCUUUGAAGUUCUUCUUCAAUUUCUUUCUUUGGUUGUGUAGUUUCAUUGUAAAGAUCUUUCACCUCUUUUGUUAAAUUGUGCAUCUUGGUUCUUACCUCAGGGCUAAGUUGUACUACACAGACCUAAUAAGCUCUCAUGAAUAUCUCCAUAUAAAUCUUCAUGAUUCUUUCAAGACCCAUGGUAACCCACGAUGAAUCCUCUAAAUCUAUGCCAAUGCACAAUUUAAAAUAGAUUUAUUGCAUGAUGAUUAUCUGCCAGACUGUGUUUCUUGAAUAUACUGAUGGGAAAAAAAUGUUCUUCAUGAAGAGCUGCCAAGCAGCACAUAAAUUCAACCAGGUAAUUUUGUGUACUUUUUGGAAAAUGAGAGUAAUUCUGGGUAAGAUACAUUCAAUCAGCCAGGAACUGGUUGAUUAUCAUAAUAGAAAUCUCCUUAGGAGAAUAAAAAAGUCAGAGUAGAUAAUUACAAUUAAAAAUCCACAUAGAAGCAUGUAUGUUGUGACACACAGAAACUCACUGUGUAUAAUGAGGCAGAAAGAAUACCUUGACAAAAACAGUGUUAUGACUUAGAUGUGAGGUGUUCCCCAAAAACUCAUGCAUGAGAAAAUACAAGAAAGUUUAUAUGUGAAAUGAUUGGGAUAUGAGAUUCUUAACAUAAUCAGUGCAUUAAUAUUCUAAUAGGGAUUAGCUGGGUAGUAAUUGUAGGCCUUUAAGAUGUGGCUAGAGAAGGGGGGUCAUUGAGGGCAUGAUUUUGGAAUUUAUAUUUUGUCUGUGGUAAGAAAUGCUCUCUCCUCCCCUCUUCCUUGUGGUUAUGUCCUGAGGCAAUUUCUUGUACCACAUCUUUUUAUUAUGAUCUUCUGGCAUACCUUGAGGCCUCUGAAACCAUGAGCACCAAAUAAACUUCCUCCUCUGAAAAUUUUCUUAUCAGGUCUUUUGGUUGCAGCACUAAACAGC